UCUUCUAUAGCUCAGUUGGUAGAGCGUGCGGCUGUUAACCUCAAGGUCGCUGGUUCAAACCCAGCUGGGAGAG
rnacentral:tRNA from 1 species